CAAUAGCGUAUAUUAUUGAUGUUGCAGUUAAAACGUUCGUAGUCGACCUUUAUCUGCGUACGUACUGUUGCGUCAUUGACGUAUCAGUGCUAUAAGCAGAGACGGUGCAGUAGUUCGGCAUCUUUGGUGCUGUUCUUAUUGCAUUUUACUUUGAGUGAAUCGGCGUGUUCCACGCAGGCCAUAGCCUUGAACGAUUUACCAUAGCAUAAUUAGAUUAUGAAGAUGCCCCUUUGCUUGUUCGGGGGUAUUUUUGAUACUGAAAGGAACGGUUGAGGGCAUUCGUAUUCAACUGCUAGAGGUGAAAUUCUUUGAUUAGUUGAGGACGAACCAUUGCGAAAGCAUCUGCCAAGGACGUUUNCUUUG
rnacentral:rRNA from 1 species